rnacentral:rRNA from 1 species
UGGGGAAUAUUGCACAAUGGGGGAAACCCUGAUGCAGCGAUGCCGCGUGGAGGAAGAAGGUUUUCGGAUUGUAAACUCCUUUUAUCAGGGACGAUAAUGACGGUACCUGAAGAAAAAGCUCCGGCUAACUACGUGCCAGCAGCCGCGGUAAUACGUAGGGAGCGAGCGUUGUCCGGAAUUACUGGGUGUAAAGGGAGCGUAGGCGGGACGGUAAGUCAGAUGUGAAAUAUACGUGCUCAACAUGUAGACUGCAUUUGAAACUGCUGUUCUUGAGUGAAGUAGAGGUAAGCGGAAUUCCUAGUGUAGCGGUGAAAUGCGUAGAUAUUAGGAGGAACAUCGGUGGCGAAGGCGGCUUACUGGGCUUUUACUGACGCUGAGGCUCGAAAGCGUGGGGAGCAAACAGGA